UUCUUUGCAAGUGUUUAUAUUAUUACAAUCUGUAUUUACUAUUAGUGAAGUUAACAAUCAAAUGAAUUUAGUGGCUAUUGAAGUAAAUGUGAAACAGUGUAAUUUUUUCCUACGCUACUUCUUGCUCUAAAGGAUUGUUAUCACCUGAAGUAAAGAUUAUGAGAAGACAUAAUUUAUUCAUGAAGAGCAGCUCUACUACAAUAAUGAAGAUAUGGAUCGGUGAAUUUGAUUAUAAAAUUUCAGCUUCAUUCUCAUAGACGAACAUUGGAAUACCUUCUAUAGAGUGAAGCCUUCAACGUUUCUUAUAGUGAAGCCUAUGUUCUGACUUCCGGAAUUUUAUUAGUGAAGUUAAUUAGUGCAAUUACAACAAGUGAUAAUUCAGUGGUUAGUGAAGUAAAUGUAUAACUGUUUGAACUUCAAGACGAAGGUUUGGCUACCCUACUUCAUGACUCAAAGAAAAAUGUCAAAUUGUUGACGAGAUGAAAGUGAGACGUUUUGAGGAGGCUGGGACACGUUGAGAGGAUGAGUGACUCAAGAGUUGUAAAACAGGUCUUCAGAAACAACCCAGGAGGGAGAAGGCUGAGAAGACGUCCGCGAAAGCGUUGGCUGGAGGAUUUGGAGGACGAUAUUAGGAAUCUGUGUGUUAGGGGAUGGAGACGUAAGGCUGCUGAUAGAGACGAAUGGAGAGGCUUUCUGGAGGAAGUCAAGGCUCUGAAUUAGCUGUAGUGCCAAGGAGUAAUUAAGUAUAUUUGUUUUCAUUGGUUUUUGUGAUAGUUAGAGAUUUCCAGUCUUCAACACAGGAGUUUUCGUUGGAGGGAGUUUUUUCUCAUAGGUCUCGUUGUUCCACGAAAUAUAUUUUUGGGGUUGAUGCCCACAUGAUCGUUUUGCUUGUGCUUGGCUGAUUUAUGAGAUUAUCAAACGUCCAUGCCUAUCGGUGGGAUCCGAAAUGAUGAGCCCGGGCGGUUAGUCGACGGAGCACCUCUCUGUAGAACUGGCCGUUCACAAAGAGUUUUUCCACCCGGCCAAACUGUAAACGACCAGUACAACAGAGAGGUGCUCCGUCGACUACCCGCCCGGGUUCGUCGAGUCCGUCCGGGGAUUGCCGAUUCGUGGAUCCUCCAU